rnacentral:sRNA from 2 species
GUGGCGGCAGCCGGAUGAGGGGGCCGCAGCUUACAAACGAGCAGACCAUGACCGCAUCGCCCUUCGAUCACCCCUUCCUCUCCGGCCUCCUCGGCGAUGACGAAAUCGCGCCCCACUUCUCCGCCGAAGCCGAUAUCCGCGCCA